rnacentral:rRNA from 1 species
CCUACGGGAGGCAGCAGUGGGGAAUAUUGCACAAUGGGCGCAAGCCUGAUGCAGCCAUGCCGCGUGUGUGAAGAAGGCCUUCGGGUUGUAAAGCACUUUCAGCGGGGAGGAAGGCGGUGAGGUUAAUAACCUCAUCGAUUGACGUUACCCGCAGAAGAAGCACCGGCUAACUCCGUGCCAGCAGCCGCGGUAAUACGGAGGGUGCAAGCGUUAAUCGGAAUUACUGGGCGUAAAGCGCACGCAGGCGGUCUGUCAAGUCGGAUGUGAAAUCCCCGGGCUCAACCUGGGAACUGCAUUCGAAACUGGCAGGCUAGAGUCUUGUAGAGGGGGGUAGAAUUCCAGGCGUAGCGGUGAAAUGCGUAGAGAUCUGGAGGAAUACCGGUGGCGAAGGCGGCCCCCUGGACAAAGACUGACGCUCAGGUGCGAAAGCGUGGGGAGCAAACAGGAUUAGAUACGCUGGUAGUC